rfam:Myotis brandtii contig183831, whole genome shotgun sequence.
GGCGGUUCUCAGGUGACGCACCCCAGAAUCAGGCUCCCUCCUCUCUGGUUCCAGGUGUGUCACCGAGAACCACA